AGCCGUCCUCGCCACCCCAUCCUCAUAAAAUCUGCAGAGCCGCCGAGCCGGAGAUACGACAGGCAGUGAGCGCACAUCCAGGAGCGGCGCCACCGGCUGAUCCAACUUAAGGGGUACCCGGUGAGCCUUCCCUUGUGUGGUUCGAGAUGGGGCCGCCGCCUUCUCCCGUCGCAUGGUCCAGGUCUGACGGGGAGGGCACAUAGCCGGUGCCCAUCCAGGAGCGGCGACGCCAGCUGCUCCGGUGACACCCUUCUCCCGUGUGAUUCGAGAUGGGGUCGUCAGGUUCUCCCGUCGCACGGUCCAGAUCUGACGGGGCCACAUCGGCCUCCACGGCAAAGCCUCGGACUGGAGGCGUCCACCAGUUCAUGGUGAGGUAGGAGUUCGAGCUCCACAAGGCUGGUAUAGGGCGAAAGCUUACUGUGCAGCAGUUCAAGCUAUUCAUCAGCCGCUCCCCCAGUCUCAUUCCCUUCACGGACACUGUUCUCUGUCGGUUCCCCAACAGAGUGCCAACUAGCAUCAGGGUCCUCCAGCUUCUACGUACUCUUUCAUCGGUUCCUCAGUUGCUGGCCGACCAACACCAAGGUCCUCAAGCUGCUCCUCUACUUUGUACUACUCCCUCUGUAAAUAGUUUUCUAAACGCUCUUAUAUUAGUUUACAGAGGGAGUACUUCUUAACUCUGCAUUAUUUCUACCACUAAUUCUGUAGUAUGUUGCAAAGCUCCACGUGAUUUAUAAGUAAAGGUUCUUAAUCAGUUGAUUGGUUUAGUGCCAGAACGUACUAUUGUUUCAGUAUUUAUUUUUUGCCAUCGAUCUUAGUUGUUUAUUUUCCACCGAUUGUAGUCGUUUCUUCCACUAAUUUUCGUCUACAAGAGAGUGUUUCUUGAUUUUUCUGUUGUAUACCUCCCUUAGUUAACAAUCGAACAGAUGGUUUAUCAGAAGUUUAUAGAAGAGCACAAAUUUCAGUCUUCAUCAGUUGAUGGGUUCAGCGUUUGAACGCAUUAUUGUUUCAGUUGUUUGUUUGACAAUGAUCUAUAACAACUAUUCACACUUGUGAUAUUACUACUGAAGUCUGGUGGUAUUACCACACAACAAGGAUCCGCGAGAUUUUUUUUCUUUUCAUUCUGCUUGGAAUCACAUAUGAACCACACAAUUGUACCAAAAGUUCUUAUUUUAUUUUCCAUUGCAGGUCGCAGGGUUACUACAAGCAACAAUAAUUCCUUGUGAUUUAUGGAAUGUUGAUAAAAUUUCCGUAUGAAAUUGUGUAGAGCAACUGGGCUCAUUGUUGUGAUCUACCAUCGUCAACGACGUUGAUAUUUCACACCCAUCUCAAUCUGGUGCCGCCUGUGUUGGCCAUGAUACAUCUGCAGCCCUUGAAGUCGUGUUUGCUCUCUGUGCUAGGCUGCAGUCUUUCUUGAUACGUCCGUUUAUUCUGCCCCGCUCAUCCAGGUUUCUAUUGAAGAGGAACGAGUGUAUAGCCUACAGGUGGUUCUUCAAUCCAAUGAUUUUCCUCAUAUGUCUCUAAGACAAAUAGUCACUAUUUUCUGUUAUACCUAUGGAUUUUAAUUUCUGUUAUACAAUAUUCGUC
rnacentral:rRNA from 1 species